rnacentral:rRNA from 1 species
GAUGAACGCUGGCGGCGUGCCUAAUACAUGCAAGUCGAGCGAACAGACGAGGAGCUUGCUCCUCUGACGUUAGCGGCGGACGGGUGAGUAACACGUGGAUAACCUACCUAUAAGACUGGGAUAACUUCGGGAAACCGGAGCUAAUACCGGAUAAUAUAUUGAACCGCAUGGUUCAAUAGUGAAAGACGGUUUUGCUGUCACUUAUAGAUGGAUCCGCGCCGCAUUAGCUAGUUGGUAAGGUAACGGCUUACCAAGGCAACGAUGCGUAGCCGACCUGAGAGGGUGAUCGGCCACACUGGAACUGAGACACGGUCCAGACUCCUACGGGAGGCAGCAGUAGGGAAUCUUCCGCAAUGGGCGAAAGCCUGACGGAGCAACGCCGCGUGAGUGAUGAAGGACUUCGGAUCGUAAAACUCUGUUAUUAGGGAAGAACAAAUGUGUAAGUAACUAUGCACGUCUUGACGGUACCUAAUCAGAAAGCCACGGCUAACUACGU